CCUACGGGAGGCAGCAGUGAGGAAUAUUGGUCAAUGGGCGCGAGCCUGAACCAGCCAAGUCGCGUGAGGGAAGACGGUCCUAUGGAUUGUAAACCUCUUUUGUCGGGGAGCAAAAGACGCCACGCGUGGCGUUCCGCGCGUACCCGACGAAAAAGCAUCGGCUAACUCCGUGCCAGCAGCCGCGGUAAUACGGAGGGGGCGAGCGUUAUCCGGAUUCAAUGGGUGUAAAGGGAGCGUAGACGGACCUGCAAGCCAGGGGUGAAGGCCCGGGGCCCAACCCCGGGACUGCCCUUGGAACUGCAUGGCUGGAGUGCGGGAGGGGCAGGCGGAAUUCCUGGUGUAGCGGUGAAAUGCGUCGUUCUCAGGCGGAACACCGGCGGCGCAGGCGGCCUGCUGGACCGCGACUGACGUUGAGGCUCGAAAGCGUGGGGAGCGAACAGGAUUAGCUACCCGGGUAGUC
rnacentral:rRNA from 1 species